rfam:Ciona savignyi cont_33242, whole genome shotgun sequence.
GCUUAUCACCAUUCCAGAUUGAAUAUACCCGAUCUCGUCUGAUCUCGGAAGUCAAGCAAUCUCGGGCUUGGUUACUACUUGGAUGGGGGA